rnacentral:tRNA from 1 species
AGUGAUAUGUCUGAUUUAGGUGAUAAAUUGUAAAUUUAUUUAAAGAAAAAAUUCUUAUUACUA